UGGGGAAUUUUGGACAAUGGGCGAAAGCCUGAUCCAGCAAUGCCGCGUGUGUGAAGAAGGCCUUCGGGUUGUAAAGCACUUUUGUCCGGAAAGAAAUCCUUGGCUCUAAUACAGUCGGGGGAUGACGGUACCGGAAGAAUAAGCACCGGCUAACUACGUGCCAGCAGCCGCGGUAAUACGUAGGGUGCAAGCGUUAAUCGGAAUUACUGGGCGUAAAGCGUGCGCAGGCGGUUUGCUAAGACCGAUGUGAAAUCCCCGGGCUCAACCUGGGAACUGCAUUGGUGACUGGCAGGCUAGAGUAUGGCAGAGGGGGGUAGAAUUCCACGUGUAGCAGUGAAAUGCGUAGAGAUGUGGAGGAAUACCGAUGGCGAAGGCAGCCCCCUGGGCCAAUACUGACGCUCAUGCACGAAAGCGUGGGGGAGCAAAACAGGAUUAGAUACCCUGGUAGUCCACGCCCUAAACGAUGUCAACUAGUUGUUGGGGAUUCAUUUCCUUAGUAACGUAGCUAACGCGUGAAGUUGACCGCCUGGGGGAGUACGGUCGCAAGA
rnacentral:rRNA from 1 species